UAUACCCAGUUGGAACUCCAGAAAGAGAAAGCUAUAGUGGGAAAUCUGGAGAAAAUGCUUCAAACCAAGUUUGCUGAAGCUGAAGAAAAGUAUAAGCAUACCAUACAGAUCCUGACGGAAGAGAACAUUCAUCUGAAGUGCGGCUGCUGCUGAAAAAGACAUAGCAAAAGAUAAUUUCUAAGAAUGAAGAAAUUUAUGAAGGAUGUUCUGGGAGAUUGGCCUCUAUUACUGUUUCUAAGGAUGAUUCUGACACUGUGGAAGAUGGUAGCAAGAAAGGACAAGAAUCAUAAACAAAAAGUUGCUCUGCAUUGUUGAAGAUGGUUGGCACACCAUUUCUGUAGGCCCAGGAAACUCCUGGGAGGGUUUUCUUGAGAAAAUGCAUAUAAUGAAUUUA
rnacentral:sRNA from 1 species